UUAGUAGAUAAAUUUAUUGGUAAAAUUAAAAAAAAUAUAUAACAGUAAUUAAGAGAAAUUGAUGGUAAUUUUAAAUCAAAAAUUAAUAAUCAUAUGAGAAUCAUUUUGACAUCGAUUUGAAAACGCAACCUGCGGAUAGUUUGGACGUUAUGGAUGAUGGUCCUCGACCGAUGAAAAAUUUGAAACCAACACAAAAGAAUCUGAAUAGUGCGGAACAAUUCCGACUAGCUCAUCAAUCGGGGUACGAUAAUGGUGGUAAAAUGAGCGUGGACAGGAUGAAAAUAGUACAUCAACACAACCUCGCUUAUCCCCAGUUGAGAGAUGAGCUGGACAGACGUCGAUCGGUGAAACAGGUAAAAAUGAACGGGAAGAAAAUAUCAUCCUUCGAUCCCAAAUGCAAAGCUUGUAUCAAAUUAAAACAAUUAAAAAAACUCCGUAAAUUGAAUAUACAACCUCGAUGCAAUGCGAAAUCUUCAAGAAGAAAGCACCAACGAGAUUCCAAAUCUCGUGUAAAAAAAAGGGAAAAAUUCGAAAAAAGUCGAACGAAAACGCAUGGACAAAAAAUAUCGACCAAUGGAAUAAAAAAUAUCAAUCAUUGUGUUGAUGUCAUAGAUAAAAAUACUGGAAUGGACUCUGAUAUUGACCCGAUAAAUAAAUUACUAUCAAAUGAAAGGAUGAUUGAAGUGCAGGAAAGUAAAAAUGCCGCGAGAACGUCUAGAGAGAAUAGCUCAUCGAAUUCAGUGAAUACCUUAAAUAAUCCUAAUACGAGUAAUUUUUCUAUGAGCAGUUACAAUACCUACGCAUCUAUGGAUCAUGAGCCAAUGGUGUCUACGGAUUGAUUUUGCCACAGAUAACAUCAACAGUUUUCGUUUAAUUUGUGUCAAAUACUAACUGUCAAAGUUUUUUUCAUUAAAACCUUAUUUUAAAUUGAUUUUGUUUGAUCAGAAAGUACAACUUUCCGAAUUUAUUAUUUAUUAAGACAUUUAUGCAAUAAUAAAGAUUUUAUUUAUC